AACGAACGCUGGCGGCAUGCCUAACACAUGCAAGUCGAACGAGAUCUUCGGGUCUAGUGGCGCACGGGUGCGUAACGCGUGGGAAUCUGCCCUUUGGUUCGGAAUAACAGUUGGAAACGACUGCUAAUACCGGAUGAUGACGAAAGUCCAAAGAUUUAUCGCCAGAGGAUGAGCCCGCGUAGGAUUAGCUAGUUGGUGUGGUACAGGCGCACCAAGGCGACGAUCCUUAGCUGGUCUGAGAGGAUGAUCAGCCACACUGGGACUGAGACACGGUCAAGACUCCUACGGGAGGCAGCAAUAGAGAAAAUUGGACAAUGGGCGAAAGCAUGCUCCAGCAAUGCCGCGUGAGUGAUGAAGGCAUUAGGGUUGUAAACCUCUUUUACCCCGGAUGAGAAUGACCGUACCGGGAGAAUAAGCGCCGGCUAUCACCGUGGCAGCAGCCGCCGUAA
rnacentral:rRNA from 1 species